rnacentral:rRNA from 1 species
AGGACGAACGCUGGCGGCGUGCUUAACACAUGCAAGUCGAGCGGUAAGGCCUUUCGGGGUACACGAGCGGCGAACGGGUGAGUAACACGUGGGUGAUCUGCCCUGCACUUCGGGAUAAGCCUGGGAAACUGGGUCUAAUACCGGAUAUGACCUCCUAUCGCAUGGUGGGUGGUGGAAAAGAUUUAUCGGGUGCAGGAUGGGCCCGCGGCCUAUCAGCUU